CAUGCCGCAUGGUCUGUCGGGAAAGAUUCAUCGGUAUGGGAUGGGGUCGCGUCCUAUCAGCUUGAUGGCGGGGUAACGGCCCACCAUGGCUUCGACGGGUAGCCGGCCUGAGAGGGCGACCGGCCACAUUGGGACUGAGAUACGGCCCAGACUCCUACGGGAGGCAGCAGUGGGGAAUAUUGCACAAUGGGCGCAAGCCUGAUGCAGCGACGCCGCGUGCGGGAUGACGGCCUUCGGGUUGUAAACCGCUUUUGACUGGGAGCAAGCCCUUCGGGGUGAGUGUACCUUUCGAAUAAGCACCGGCUAACUACGUGCCAGCAGCCGCGGUAAUACGUAGGGUGCAAGCGUUAUCCGGAAUUAUUGGGCGUAAAGGGCUCGUAGGCGGUUCGUCGCGUCCGGUGUGAAAGUCCAUCGCUUAACGGUGGAUCCGCGCCGGGUACGGGCGGGCUUGAGUGCGGUAGGGGAGACUGGAAUUCCCGGUGUAACGGUGGAAUGUGUAGAUAUCGGGAAGA
rnacentral:rRNA from 1 species